UACGUAGGUGGCAAGCGUUGUCCGGAAUUAUUGGGCGUAAAGCGCGCGCAGGCGGUUCUUUAAGUCUGAUGUGAAAGCCCACGGCUCAACCGUGGAGGGUCAUUGGAAACUGGAGAACUUGAGUACAGAAGAGGAAAGCGGAAUUCCACGUGUAGCGGUGAAAUGCGUAGAGAUGUGGAGGAACACCGAUGGCGAAGGCAACCCCCUGGGACGAUACUGACGCUGAGGCACGAAAGCGUGGGGAGCAAACAGG
rnacentral:rRNA from 1 species